GGAGAGGUGGCCGAGUGGCUGAUGGCGCUGGUCUUGAAAACCAGAAUCGUCGUAAGACGGUCGUGAGUUCAAAUCUCACCCUCUCCG
rfam:Candidatus Desantisbacteria bacterium CG1_02_38_46 cg1_0.2_scaffold_5872_c, whole genome shotgun sequence.